AUGCCAUCAGGAAUUGGAGUUGGGAUAGGAUUGCACACGUACAUAUAUAUUGUUUGCAAUGCCAUAGGAUUUGCGCACGUACUACACAUAUAUUGGCUCCUCGAUGUCCUGGUCAUCCUCCCCGACGCCGCCUCCACCCCCACGAGCACGACACACGCACCAGCACUACACAGCAGAUCAGCCGACGAAACGUCAGUCAUGACGGCUCCGCCCUCGCCUUCCCUAUUCCUAUUGCAUCCCCUCGUGGGCACGUACCGCCCCGGCGACAAAACAACCGACGACCCGAAGAAUUUGCUGUCAGCCAAGGAGGCGUUCGGGUUCCCCGCGGACCUUGACUGCGGCGCGCUCAUGCGGGGCCUGGCGCUGGAGGCAGACCUCGCCGGCGCGCCAGAUCUGUGCCGCCUGACCCUCCGAGGCGUCCCUCCGUUGUCCACCUGUGUCCAUGCCGUCGACAAGAACCUUAUCCUCAUGAUAACGUCCUUUCCCGAAGUUUACCCCCGGGACAUCUAUCUCGUCUACAACACGAUCGACAGAUCGCUCCACAUGAUCCCGUCUCCGCCCAGCUCGCCCCCUCGCACCACCGUCCUUACGGCCCGUCUCCUCGUCGCGCGCCGCCGGGACGACGACAUGUGCUACGCCCUCGUCUUUCCGGGGUCCGUCCGCGGCGUAGGCUCUAGACAGGAGCCCGUUCUCUUCGUGUCGCCGUCCUCGUCCGACUCGCAGUGGGAGAUAGCCAAGCACGCCGAGUUUCCCGACCAUCUGCUCGCGGAGAAAAGCGACUUCGUUGCCGAAGAGGUGUUCUCGCACCGUGGCCGUGGUUACUGGGUGGAUCUCUUGCUCGGUGGCAUGUACUGUGACUGCGCUGAUCUGCUCUCCGGCGAGCGUUCCGUGGAAGUACUCUCCUUAGACCUCCCUGUGGGGUGCGAGAGGUACCUCGGCGAUAGAGACGACAUACCAGACCCGAGGGCCUUUCGAGUCGUGGGAUGUGUUGGGGACUCCAUCAAGUUUGCAUCCAUCACUGGCUUCCUUGAGCGUGUGGAUCUUGCGGAUGACCGCAUGGUGAGGGUUUGA
rnacentral:rRNA from 1 species